GAUCGGUUGACUUUUAGUACUAUUAUGGACAGUGGAUUUGAUUGAUGCUUAAUUAUUGCUUCCAUAUGAUUUUAAAGCCAAUUCCUUUUUGCAUAUGUAUUUGGCUGAUUGAUUGGGUGCCAUUUUCGAACUGUCCUGAGCUUUUUCGUAUGAAAUGGGGAAAUCGAUUCAACUUACAUCCAAUUUCCCCCAAUUUUAUUUGACGUCAAUUCUUUGUGAACCUCAAGAAAGUUAACGCACUUUAAUAUGAAGACCCCUUUUUUUUCUUGUUUCUUUUUUUUUUUUUUUUUUUUGGCCUUUUUAAAUCAUAAAAAGAAGUAGAUUUGGAAAGACUGAUUGUGAGAAGUUUAGGGAAGCAAUUACUAGUGAAGUAACUCCCCAAAAGAAAAAAAAUGUUAUAAAUUGUUAAUAUAUAUUGGUAGAAAUGCAUAUAAGUUCACCUAAAUUUGCAUCUUUGACAAUCAUGCUAGGUUUUUGAAAAAUGAUUUUGAGUUAAAAAAUUAAUAAUAGUAAAGUCGUUCUAAGAGAAAGGUAAUGAGUGGAUUAUGUAACUUCCCUUGAAUUUGUUUUCACUGUUUUAAUUAUUUCUCAAUUAUUUGAUCUUUCCUUGCUGUACCUCUGUUCCUCUGACUAAUUGCGGAUGUAAGCAUGUCUCUGAUAAUUGUUGUUUGUUUCUUCCACCGACAUCUAUCCUUCCAACUGAAUUUGGAUAAGUGGUGACAUGAAUGAUCUACAGUUACACAAUAAAAAAUCGUUAUAAAGGAUAUAUGGAGUAAAAGUAGCUCUAUAUAUCAGGUGCAUUAGAUUUGUAGGCCUUAACGACAACACAUAAUGAAUGACGACCAUGCUUUCUGUAUGUGUUGGAUGCAAGAAAUUUAUACGAGGACCUUAAUGAGCUGAUGUAAUGCAUGAUAAAUACGAUUUUAAUAUUUUUAUGGUAGGUAGGACCUUUGAUUCUAUCUCAUUAUUUACUAAGAUUGCACCGUUUCAUUGCAAUUAUUUUUAUCUUUAAAUUUUCGUGGCCGCCGGUAUUUCUCUAUGCUAUUAGUUAGUUCUUUAUGGUACUUAGUUACAUCUUAAAAAGCUCUUAAAGUGAACAUGUUCAAUUGUUCAUUUUAGUGUUCCGCUAAAUGAGUGCUGUCAGCUUCUGUCUCCUGUAGCAUUCGACACAGUUUCUUUUCUUGUUUUAAUUGUUUCUGUGAACCUGAUUGUGAACUUUGUGCUGGACAAUGUGCUUGGCUAUCAUCCAUUGUUCUGAUAUUGAUUUCUGGCCAUAUAUUUUUCAAAAGUAGAUAAUUUAGUCUCUUCAUGUGCAUAGAAAGUUUUGGUUGGAUCACCAUCAAACACAACUUGAAUGGAGGAGGUUGAGUUGUAUCCCAACUGGGAUGAUGUCAUUUGUCCCAUAUGCCUUGACUUUCCUCACAAUGGCGUUCUUCUUCAGUGUUCAUCGUAUGAAAAAGGAUGCCGACCUUUUGUGUGUGACACUGACCAUUUGCACUCAAAUUGUCUGGAUCGUUUUAAACAAGCAAGUGGGAUGCUAUCCGGUUCCCAAUCACCAAGCUCUGUGGAGAACGUUAGCUGUUUGAAUCUGGUGUCGGACAGCAAACCACUGUGUCCCUUGUGUAGAGGAGAAGUUACUGGAUGGGUAGUUGUUCAUAAUGCUCGUACAUAUUUGGACGAGAAGAAACGCUGUUGUGAAGAGGAAAAAUGUGGAUUCAUGGGCACCUACAUGGAACUUCAUAAACAUGCACACUUAGAGCAUCCUCAUGCAUGCCCUUCAAAGAUUGAUCCUGCACGACAGCUUGAUUGGGAGAAUUUCCAGCAAUCCUCUGAGAUCAUUGAUGUUUUGAGCACUAUCCACUCAGAAGUCCCACGUGGGGUUGUUCUGGGUGAUUAUGUGAUAGAAUAUGGGAAUGAUAACUCUGGUGAUGAAUGUGAUGACUUCCCUGGGGAUGAAGGGAACUGGUGGACAUCUUGCAUAUUGUAUCAGGUGUUUGAAAAUUUUAGGACGUCUAGAAACAGGAGAAGAUCAAGAGUUGGUGAUUCUAGAAGAGGAAACCGUCAUUUGAGUUAUGAUACUUCUAACUCUGAUGAGGGUUCUGUAACAUCUGUAGAAUAUGCCGAUUAUAUAGCAGACGAGGCUGAUGAUGAGUUUGGGAGUGCAAGUGGAAUCUCAAGGGGAAGAGCAGAUCACCGCAGUUCUCGAAGGCGUCAUUCGCGCUUUUAUGUUCAUUAAGCAUGCAACAUCCUGGAUGCUGUGCAGUCCGUCUCUUUGCAGGUUAUAGUCUACUGUAAAAUGGAACCUAGCUUGUGAAAUUAAAUUUCUAUUACACUAGGACAGAAUAGAAUUGACUGAAACCGAUGUAUGGAAGAAACGGCUUACAAAUGGUAGACCACUCGAAACUCAAAAGCACUGCGAUCUUCAUGCAGCUAAUGAUAUGUAAAAUUCUUAGAUUGACAUAUCUAAUCAAAUUCUCUUUGUUUUUUCAAUGAUUAGUUCCCUCUUUUGCUC